CCUCCUGCUUGCGUCUGCGCCCAGCGUAGGCGAGUCCCAGGGUCCAGUCAGGUCUUGCUCUGCCUGUGAGCUGUGGUGGAAGCCGGAAGAGAAGGAACAGAAGAAAGGGAAGUAGAUUCCUUUACGGAGGUGCCCAUGGAAGACAGAAGGCAGUGUUGGAUUCCUGGAGCUGGAAUUUCAGGCAGUUGUGAGUUGCCUGAUGUUGAGCGCUAGUCAUCUGGAAGAAGGCUAUCUACUCUUAACUACUUCCACAAAUAAUUUUUUAAUGUCACCAAUAA